UUAGCAAGUAUUAGACAAAAAAACUUGGGAGGAUAAGGACUUAGAAUGACAUUACAUUUUUUGGAGGUUUCUGGGCCCUUUCAUCGGCCUUGGGAAGAGUGCAACUCCUCCUCACCUUCGAUGUGAGAGGGAGCUGUGUGAAAAGGUGGGAAGCCGCCGUGACCAGCCCUCUUUGAGCCGCCGUGGGCGGUGUAGGCGGCGGUUUCGGGGGAUGCCGACCGCCUAUUCUUGGAGGCAGCAGUGGUGGGAGCAAUUUCCUCCCUCAGCCUUACCCGAAGAUCGGCCGGAAGUAAGGGAAAUCUCGCUGGAAAAGCUGGAGAUGUUGGUGGCGCUGGGAAGAGGCAAGGAUUACGUCGGCGACAUUGGGUGGAGGCAAAGAUGACAACGCCAUAUGGAUAUCGUCCUUACUUAUCAGUGUUGGUUGUUGGCAGUCUCCAUGGAAGUCUCCAUCGACGAUCCAAAACGACUGGCACCCACGGCCUUGAUCUCAAACCCAUCGCCGACGAAAUGUGGUUGAAACAACAAUAACAGCUCGUCACAACGUGUCACUCAGCUCCAUAACCAUAUUGGCCGACAACGAAGAGCAAGCGUUGGUAGAAGCGAAGAUGGUGACGAUCUAUAGGCGGCGGCGACAAUGACAAAGCUACUUAGGAGAGGAGAUGAGAGGCUGACGACUGCUACUGUUGACACUCCUCACUGGAAACUAUAUCUUCUCCCUAGAUCUUGAUGGGGGUGCCCAUUCAAAUUUUUUAUUCUUUUUCGUUUCUAAUUUUCUAUAGUUCUUCACUUGGUUUUGUGAAAGGGUUUUUUGGGUCAUCUACUCUCGUCCAACAAUGUAAGAAUUGGGGGUUUCACAAAUGUCAAGUUACAAUGACAGUCACAACAUUAGUUACAGUAUCUGCCAUAUAACACUGUUAAUGGGACCAAUAGUGUGGUUGGUAGUGUAACUAUCAGUACAGCUGUCAUAAGGGUUG